rnacentral:lncRNA from 1 species
UGGUACUGAGGAUUUUGGGUGGAACUGAGAAUGAUUUCCAUCCUCUGACUUGGGAUGGAUAAAGUUGAAGCUACCUAUUCUAUCUCUCUUAUUCCUCUUUUCCUUCUUCUUAUUCUUAUCCUCCUUUAUCUGCUGAGCAUGGACCAUGAGCCUCGAUAUAUACAUCUCUUUAAUCAUUAUUAUGGUUCUACACUCCUUGACCAUACUAUUAGACACACCCGACAUAAAC